rnacentral:piRNA from 1 species
CCACUCUUCCUUUGGCUCUCUGGAGCUGG